AAUAGAAAUGAGCAAGGAGAUAUUUUUUUCCCCUGGGUUUGAAUGAACAUCAUUGAGUGCAUCGUUGAUGUAAUUUUACUUAUUUUAUUCCAUUGUUGAAUUAAUUAAAGAAGUAUAUAUCAGCGUUGCAUUCAAUUAUGUUUUUCUAAUUUUCAGGAAAUACAAAAAAAAUGAAAAAAAAAAAUCACUUAAAAGACCUUGAGAGUUCUUUUGACU
rnacentral:misc_RNA from 1 species